rnacentral:snRNA from 1 species
AUACUUACCUGGCAGGGGAGAUACCAUGAUCACGAAGGUGGUUUUCCCAGGGCGAGGCUUAUCCAUUGCACUCCGGAUGUGCUGACCCCUGCGAUUUCCCCAAAUGUGGGAAACUCGACUGCAUAAUUUGUGGUAAAAAAAAAUAAAAAUAGUCUAUUA